GACGAACGCUGGCGGCGUGCCUAAUACAUGCAAGUAGGACGCAGUUGCGAACGGGUGAGUAACGCGUAGGUAACUACCUAUUAGAGGGGGAUAACUACUGGAAAGGGUAGCUAAUACCGCAUACUAGUAGAUGGACCUGAGUUGUAUUAGCUAGUAGGUAGGGUAAUGGCCUACCUAGGCAACGAUACAUAGCCGACCUGGGAGGUAGAUCGGCCACACUGGGACUUGGACACGGCCCAGACUCCUACGGGAGGCAGCAGUAGGGAAUCUGCCGCAAUGGGGGGAACCCUGACCGCGCAACGCCGCGUGAGUGAUGCAUGUCUUCGGAUCGUAAACCUCUGUUAUUAGUGUAGCGGUACCUAAUCAGAAAGCCCCGGCUAACUACGUGCCAGCAGCCACGGUAAUAC
rnacentral:rRNA from 1 species